rnacentral:rRNA from 1 species
GUAGGUGGCAAGCGUUGUCCGGAAUUAUUGGGCGUAAAGCGCGCGCAGGGCGGUCCUUUAAGUCUGAUGUGAAAGCCCACGGCUCAACCGUGGAGGGUCAUUGGAAACUGGGGGACUUGAGUACAGAAGAGGAAAGCGGAAUACCAAGUGUAGCGGUGAAAUGCGUAGAGAUUUGGAGGAACACCAGUGGCGAAGGCGGCUUUCUGGUCUGUAACUGACGCUGAGGCGCGAAAGCGUGGGGAGCAAACAGGAUUAGAUACCCUGGUAGUCCACGCCGUAAACGAUGAGUGCUAAGUGUUAGGGGGUUUCCGCCCCUUAGUGCUGCAGCUAACGCAUUAGGCACUCCGCCUGGGGAGUACGGCCGCAAGGCUG